CAGUCGCCACGGUAAUACGUAGGGUGCGAGCGUUAAUCGGAAUUACUGGGCGUAAAGCGUGCGCAGGCGGUUCGUUAAGACAGAUGUGAAAUCCCCGGGCUUAACCUGGGAACUGCAUUUGUGACUGUAUAGCUAGAGUACGGCAGAGGGGGAUGGAAUUCCGCGUGUAGCAGUGAAAUGCGUAGAUAUGCGGAGGAACACCGAUGGCGAAGGCAAUCCCCUGGGCCUGUACUGACGCUCAUGCACGAAAGCGUGGGGAGCAAACAGGAUUAGAUACCCCCGUAGUCCCUGUCUCUUAUAA
rnacentral:rRNA from 1 species